rnacentral:rRNA from 1 species
CAGUCGCCGCGGUAAAACGAGGGGGGCUAGCGUUGCUCGGAAUGACUGGGCGUAAAGGGCGCGUAGGCGGCGGCCAAAGUCAGGCGUGAAAUUCCCGGGCUCAACCUGGGGGCUGCGUUUGAUACUUGGUUGCUUGAGUGGGGAAGAGGGUCGUGGAAUUCCCAGUGUAGAGGUGAAAUUCGUAGAUAUUGGGAAGAACACCGGUGGCGAAGGCGGCGACCUGGUCCUUUACUGACGCUGAGGCGCGAAAGCGUGGGGAGCAAACAGGAUUAGAUACCCGGGUAGUCCCUGUCUCUUAUAC